rnacentral:rRNA from 1 species
GUGGGGAAUAUUGGACAAUGGGCGAAAGCCUGAUCCAGCCAUGCCGCGUGUGUGAAGAAGGUCUUCGGAUUGUAAAGCACUUUAAGUUGGGAGGAAGGGUAGUAACCUAAUACGUUGCUACUUUGACGUUACCGACAGAAUAAGCACCGGCUAACUUCGUGCCAGCAGCCGCGGUAAUACGAAGGGUGCAAGCGUUAAUCGGAAUUACUGGGCGUAAAGCGCGCGUAGGUGGUUUUGUAAGUUGGAGGUGAAAUCCCCGGGCUCAACCUGGGAACUGCCUCAAAAACUGCAUGACUAGAGUACGGUAGAGGGUAGUGGAAUUUCCUGUGUAGCGGUGAAAUGCGUAGAUAUAGGAAGGAACACCAGUGGCGAAGGCGACUACCUGGACUGAUACUGACACUGAGGUGCGAAAGCGUGGGGAGCAAACAGGAUUAGAAACCCCGGUAGUCC